GACGAACGCUGGCGGCGUGCCUAACACAUGCAAGUCGAGCGAGUGAAUCUCCUUCGGGAGUGAAGCUAGCGGCGGACGGGUGAGUAACACGUGGGCAACCUGCCUCAUAGAGGGGAAUAGCCUUCCGAAAGAAGAUUAAUACCGCAUAAGAUUGUAGCUUCGCAUGAAGUAGCAAUUAAAGGAGCAAUCCGCUAUGAGAUGGGCCCCGCGGCGCAUUAGCUAGUUGGUGAGGUAACGGCUCACCAAGGCGACGAUGCGUAGCCGACCUGAGAGGGUGAUCGGCCACAUUGGGACUGAGACACGGCCCAGACUCCUACGGGAGGCAGCAGUGGGGAAUAUUGCACAAUGGGGGAAACCCUGAUGCAGCAACGCCGCGUGAGUGAUGACGGCCUU
rnacentral:rRNA from 1 species